UAUUUAACCCACUGCCAAGCUGUACUAACUCCUCAUCUGACUGCAUGACUUGCAGUUGGUACCUGGUAUCUUUGUGCAGCUCCACAGCUUCUUGCCAUUGCGAGAGAGGCCGUGGUGCUGUACAGCACCCAGAGAUGUGGGAGCAGCGGGGGAAUGCUGAGGGAGCAGGAGGCAAAGGCCUGGGCAAGGGGGCCAAGGCAGCCUUUCAGCUUCCCUGGUAAAUUUGCACUGUACUGAAGACGCCAAAAAGGGAGAAAGCUCUUACUGAGACUGCAUGGGCAGCUGGCUGGGCAGUUACACCUUCUGCCCUGCCUGACACCAAGGGUUCACUCUGUGCUUGCUGUCACGCUCCCCCACUGCCUGCCCCUGUUGCCCCUGUGCUCACUCUUGCUGGGUGUCCGCUCUGGUUUAAGCGUAGUUCUGGCAUCUCCCUGCCUUGCAGUGCCCAGUGUGCUCAUCAUCUCCUUUCUCGCUUGUCGUCAUUGUUGAAGUGGUCACUCCUUUGAAGGUCCAUCUGGAUGUGAACUUGUGCACCAUGAAUAUUUCUCUUAACCUGGAGAUAAUGAGUAAAAAAGGAAAUGAGAGCUUGUUGGUUCUUGCUGUCCUGGAGGCUAAACUUGGUUUGGCAGCCACUCUUCACGUUACUGAAGGGAAAGUGCAAUUCAGCGCGGCCCUUGACAGGUAGGAUGUUCUUAAGGCCCUUUAUGCAGAUGGGCUCCCUCCCUGGAUUGUCGGCCUUAGCUGUUUGGAGAGCGACCCGGUGA
rnacentral:lncRNA from 1 species